UUACUUAUAUUUUUUGUUGUCUUUAGGCUGUGUCUUUUGUGAUAACUGAAUUUAUUCGUUUUGAUGACGUUUCUGUAACAGCUGUUGGAUUAGAGAGUUAUGUGGAGACGCUUUCUCGAAAAGGAAAUUCUGAAUUCAGUAUGUAUGGUUAGUAGUGUGGAGUUUGCGUGUAAGACCCUGGUGAAAGGGGAGGAGCUAGACGGUUCAUAGAGAAGUUGAGAUAAUGCAACAUUUGUCAGGGCAUCCAGGGUUGUGACGUUGAAUGUGGUUUAUGAAGAUUCGGAAUCUUUUCAUUUGGUAAUGGAGUUGUGUUCAGGGGGAAGGUUGAUUGAUCAAAUGACGAAAGAAGGUCGUUAUUCUGAAUAACGGGCUGCUAAUAUAUUCGAGUUGAUGACGGUGAUUAAAUAUUGUCAUGACAUGGGUGUGGUUCAUCGGGAUGUAAAGCUUGAGAAUAUCCUGUUAACAACUUCAGGGAAGAUUAAGCUUCCUGAUUUUGGCUUGGCAAUGAGGAUCACCAACGGUACUAUUUUCUUCUGUGUCUUGGUUAUAAAUAAAUUAAUUCUUUAUUUUUUAUACGCAGGAAGUUCACACAAGUGUUAUGCUUUGUGUAUCUAUGAUAUUGAUUAUAUAUCUGCUCAAACUUGUUUAAAUUUGUUCCUCACAAGUUCCCUUAAUUGGUUGACCGACAAUGUGUCAACUUUUAGUAGACAUAAGGUGCUUAGCUUACCUUGUAUCUUACUAAACCCUUCUUUGACUUAAUUUGACAACACUUGACGAAUCAAUGGGACAGAAGCUUUUACCAAGUCCUUCAUGCUUCCAGAUCCGCAUCACCCUACUUAACCCCAAAGCCUAGAUUCAAAUCAUCAUGAUUCAUUUGUGCACCCAAGUAGGCAAAACGAAAAGGUAUAAUAAUGUUGGAAGAAUUAAAUUUUAUGUGCAGUCCAAAGCGCUUUAUAAAGUUUUCGGUUCCAUAUAUCGUGUUGUUGGGUUGCAUUUUCACAAACUGAUUCUCUAUG